AUUGGCAACUCUGCCUAUCCCGCGCUCUCGGAGGCGGCGCCCUGGAGACGAAGAAGGACCUAUCAAAGCCCAGAAGGUUGAUAUGGAGGCAAAUGCAGCUUCUCCAAAGCCCAAUUUUUCUGAAGUUGGAUCCCAGGGAAUAAUCUCGGAAAGACGGGCCAGGCGCGUCCUCUGGGCCCACGGAUGUGGGGACAUCGGCGCCACAUUAGAGAGUCAGGAAAGAGAUCCAGUAGGAAAGAUGGACAGCUUGCACGGAAUCCAGACUUUGGGCAACGGAGGCGGGGCUUUGCCAGGGAAGGCUGCUUCACACAGUCCCGGGCCCCGGGGACAAGCUGGCAAAGCAUCCCUCAGCUGAGGAGGUACACGAGAGGGCCAUGUCCCAGAAGCCCUGAGAUGCUCCAAGCCCUGGUCUUCAGGGACAGCCAGA
rnacentral:lncRNA from 1 species